AAAAAUAACAAAUACGCAUUCAGCACCUACUGUGUCCUGUGGGAGCUGAUUCAAACCUGGGGCCCUACCAGGUUCUCCCAAGUAGGAGAUUCAUUCAAUAAAUAUUUAUCGAUCCCCUACUAGGUGUCAGGCACUAUUCUGGGUACUUGGAAUAUAACAGUGGACAAAACCCCCAAAGCUCCCUGCUUUCAUGGCACUGACAUUCUAUCAAUGGAGACAGACAAUAAGGAAUCAUCAUAAGUCAAUCACAUAGAAUGUUAGGAGGUGAUAGAACUAUAGAACAAAAGGAAAAAUAAGGCCAGGUAAGAGGGGUCAGGUGUGCCAAGGUGGGAGCAGGCUGGUGAGAGUACUAAGUGGAUUAGUCAGCAUUGGUCUCAUUGAACAGGUGAGGUCUCAUUGAAUAGGACAGGUUGUGUCCACCCUGAAGGAGGUGAGGAGGAAUUAGCCAAGUGGACACCUGGGAAAAGGGAGCUCUGGGGAGAGGAAAGAUCGAGAGCAAAGGUUCUAGGUGGAGUGGACAGAAUGGUGGGAGGGCCACAGCAAGUGAGCACAGAGAGGGAACAGGAGCCAAGUGGGCUACUUCUGUGGCGCUAACCAGGCCAAACCUGAAAAGAGAGAAAAUACAGUAAAACCACGUCUCUGAACACUCCAGUAUAGAACUCUGGAAAGUCCUCUGAACUAGGAGCUAGUUCCAGGGUUGGGGAUUGCAGGGCUUUUGCUGAGGUCACUUAGCCUCCCUGAGAUUCACAUUCCUCACUUACAGAUUGAGAAGCUUGCACUGAUUCACUCACUUGUCCAUCCAUUCAGGGGACUCCAUCAAGCAUGCUCAGUCUCCCCGCAGAUGGCACACACCUGCAGAUUCCAAGGAUGAGCCCAGAAAUGAUCACGAUGUUCUCACCACCUCUCAGAGACAAUGGAGAGAAUGGAGAGGAGAUGGAACUCAUUUCUACAGGAUGAAAGGAAAUGAUUCAAAUUGUACCAAGUGCAAUUAAAGUUUAAUAUUAGAGGAGACUUUGCUUUGGAAUCCCAAGGGGGUUGUGAGGGUUCUUUCUUUGAAAAAUUUUCAGAAAAUACUAAUAACGAUAUAUUAAGACACUAAUCUUCCCAGAAGCAAGGGAAUGGAAAAAAG
rnacentral:lncRNA from 12 species